UACGUAGGGGGCAAGCGUUGUCCGGAAUCAUUGGGCGUAAAGCGCGCGUAGGCGGCCCGGUAAGUCCGCUGUUAAAGUCCAGGGCUCAACCCUGGAAAGCCGGUGGAUACUGUCGGGCUAGAGUCCGGAAGAGGCGAGUGGGAUUCCUGGUGUAGCGGUGAAAUGCGUAGAUAUCUGGAGGAAUACCGGUGGCGAAGGCGGCAUCCUGGACCGGCAUUGACGCUGAGGAGCGAAAGCCAGGGGAGCAAACGGG
rnacentral:rRNA from 1 species